ensembl:miRNA
GUGUAUAUAUCUGUGUGUAUGUAUGUAUAUGUGUGUGUAUACAAACACACACACACACACACACACACACACACACACACACACACACACACA